UACAGAGGGUGCGAGCGUUAAUCGGAAUUACUGGGCGUAAAGCGUGCGCAGGCGGCUUUGCAAGUCAAAUGUGAAAUCCCCGGGCUUAACCUGGGAAUGGCGCUUGUGACUGCAGUGCUGGAGUGCGGCAGAGGGGGAUGGAAUUCCGCGUGUAGCAGUGAAAUGCGUAGAUAUGCGGAGGAACACCAAUGGCGAAGGCAAUCCCCUGGGCCUGUACUGACGCUCAUGCACGAAAGCGUGGGGAGCAAACAGG
rnacentral:rRNA from 1 species